AAUCAAGAGAACAGUUUAAAAACAGGCUGGAUAAAAAUGGCAGACGAGAAAAUGCGCAGGUUAUAAAAUACAAAUUUACAAUCAGGUGAAAUGAGUUGCUUGUUUUGCUGCUGGUCAUCUGGGAGGAAGGAUAGAGAGAAGGGAGGGUUACCUCUUCCCAGGAUAGUUAUCACAUUUGCAGAUGAUACAGGGGUUUUGAAGGAGGAAGAGAAACCAGUCACCAAUAUUUCUGGAAAUGAGACUCUGGACGAGAUAAAAAGGAAAACCAGAGAAAAAGAUGAAUUAAAGGGAAAGUUUGUGGAAAAAGAUGAUUUAAAGGGAAAGUCCGGAGAAAAUUUUGGAGAGCGUGAUGAAUUAUCUCGAGCGCACCAGGUG